AUCAUUUCUGGUUUAUAAGCAUGAUUAUUGGGUGUUCAUAAGUUUAUGUGACAUGUGCCUUUCUUAAAUCUUGUUCUGCACUUGACACAUUACCUAUUUGAUC